UCUCAAGGGAAAGAGAUCCUUUCUGCAGCCUUCUGUAAGGAGCUUGGUAGCUUUUCUCUGAAUGAAUAACCCAGAUUAUACUGAGUCAGAAGAUUUGUGUCCCAGUCAAAAGCCCACUCUCUUCACUCCACCUCCUCUUUCCAGGCUGUGGAGCAGACUUUUCCAGGCUGGUGUUGUAGCUGACAUUACUGGGCUUUUCCUUUGCGUUUUAGACAGCCACAGACCAAGCUGUCGGCAGGCCAGCAGCGAUUUGAGAGCUGCCAGACCUCUGCUAGACGCAAUUAAUUCCGGAGUGCUCGCUGUGCCAGAAAUGGAGCAGGGUGACUUUCUGAGAUCUUCCACUGAGGAAUUGCCACUUAAAAAUGGAGAAAUACAUAUGUUUCCAUAAAGAACAGGAAAGACAGAAUGGAUGCUCUCCCUGUUUAAAUGAAAAUCCCUGUUCUCAGCCUGAAUCAAGGGUAAUGUAUUGCACAAAAUGACGAGCCAGAUUUUUAGAGAGGUAGAAAAUCCCAUAUCUGGAGUAAAAUGAGCAAGGAAAGCCCUUUUCCUAAUAAGCACAUCACUAGUGCAGGAGUGGGAGAAACUAUGUAGAAUAGUUUUUACAUAGUUUGUAACCCAAGAUGGGAAUAAAUCAGAAGAAAUAGGUCA
rnacentral:lncRNA from 1 species